UGGGGAAUCUUGGACAAUGGGCGCAAGCCUGAUCCAGCCAUGCCGCGUGAGUGAUGAAGGCCUUAGGGUUGUAAAGCUCUUUUUGCCGGGGACGAUAAUGACGGUACCCGGAGAAUAAGUCCCGGCUAACUUCGUGCCAGCAGCCGCGGUAAUACGAAGGGGACUAGCGUUGUUCGGAAUCACUGGGCGUAAAGCGCACGUAGGCGGAUUUGUAAGUCAGGGGUGAAAUCCCGGGGCUCAACCUCGGAACUGCCUCUGAUACUGCGGAUCUCGAGUCCGGAAGAGGUGAGUGGAAUUCCUAGUGUAGAGGUGAAAUUCGUAGAUAUUAGGAAGAACACCAGUGGCGAAGGCGGCUCACUGGUCCGGUACUGACGCUGAGGUGCGAAAGCGUGGGGAGCAAACAGGAUUAGAUACCCAGGUAGUCCCUGAGCGGGCUGGCAAGGCGCAU
rnacentral:rRNA from 1 species